rnacentral:rRNA from 1 species
UACGUAGGGUGCGAGCGUUAAUCGGAAUUACCGGGCGUAAAGCGUGCGCAGGCGGUGAUGUAAGACAGGUGUGAAAUCCCCGGGCUUAACCUGGGAACUGCAUUUGUGACUGCAUUGCUGGAGUGCGGCAGAGGGGGAUGGAAUUCCGCGUGUAGCAGUGAAAUGCGUAGAUAUGCGGAGGAACACCGAUGGCGAAGGCAAUCCCCUGGGCCUGCACUGACGCUCAUGCACGAAAGCGUGGGGAGCAAACAGG